UUUAACUUCAACAAUGAACAUGACCCUUGUUGAUUCACCUCAAUUUCUACUUCUUCAAAAAUGGGCCGUGGAAAAAUUGAGAUCAAGAAGAUUGAAAACUCGACAAACAGGCAGGUCACUUACUCCAAGAGAAGAAACGGUAUUUUCAAGAAAGCUAAAGAACUUACUGUUCUUUGUGACGCUAAGAUCUCUCUCAUCAUGCUAUCAAGCACCAGGAAGUAUCAUGAGUACACAAGCCCAAACACUACGACAAAAAAGAUGAUUGAUCAGUAUCAGAGUGCACUUGGAGUUGAUAUCUGGAGCAUUCACUACGAGAAAAUGCAAGAAAACUUGAAGAGAUUGAAAGAGAUCAAUAACAAGCUAAGAAGAGAGAUAAGGCAGAGAACAGGGGAAGACAUGAGCGGACUAAAUUUGCAGGAACUAUGUCACUUGCAGGAGAACAUCACUGAAUCUGUUGCUGAGAUUCGUGAACGAAAGUACCACGUGAUCAAGAAUCAAACAGACACCUGCAAGAAGAAGGCGAGGAACUUAGAAGAGCAAAAUGGAAACCUUGUACUUGACUUGGAAGCAAAAUGUGAAGAUCCAAAGUAUGGUGUUGUGGAAAAUGAGGGGCAUUACCACUCUGCUGUGGCAUUUGCGAAUGGAGUACACAAUCUUUAUGCUUUUCGCCUACAACCAUUGCACCCCAAUCUUCAAAACGAAGGAGGAUUUGGUUCUCGUGAUCUACGUCUCUCCUGAAGAUAUCAGUUCACAGUAAUGGCGUUAAACAUUAAUGCUGAGUUACUUAUUCAAAUCAACUUCCCGAAUUAUAUCUUAUUCCUAAAAAAAAUUAAAUAUUGCAAGCUGCAAACACUACUUUAUCUAACUAAUUUGCUCCGAGUCUGGAUUUGGUUCUGUGUUAAGCACUCUAUUAUUCUAGGUGUUUCAACUCCUUUCUAUAUAUGAAUUAUGAUGCCUUGAACGCA
rnacentral:misc_RNA from 1 species